AACGAACGCUGGCGGCAGGCCUAACACAUGCAAGUCGAACGCUCCGCAAGGGGAGUGGCAGACGGGUGAGUAACACGUGGGAAUCUUCCUGUUGGUACGGAAUAGCUCAGGGAAACUUGGGGUAAUACCGUAUAAGCCCGAGAGGGGAAGGAUUUAUCGCCGACAGAUGAGCCCGCGUCUGAUUAGCUAGUUGGUGAGGUAAUGGCUCACCAAGGCGACGAUCAGUAGCUGGCUGAGAGGAUGACCAGCCACACUGGGACUGAGACACGGCCCAGACUCCUACGGGAGGCAGCAGUGGGGAAUAUUGGACAAUGGGCGCAAGCCUGAUCCAGCCAUGCCGCGUGAGUGACGAAGGUCUUC
rnacentral:rRNA from 1 species